UAACACCUGGAAACAGAUGCUAAUACCGGAUAACAACACUAGACGCAUGUCUAGAGUUUAAAAGAUGGUUCUGCUAUCACUCUUGGAUGGACCUGCGGUGCAUUAGCUAGUUGGUAAGGCAACGGCUUACCAAGGCAAUGAUGCAUAGCCGAGUUGAGAGACUGAUCGGCCACAUUGGGACUGAGACACGGCCCAAACUCCUACGGGAGGCAGCAGAC
rnacentral:rRNA from 1 species